GAUUCUCUCUUUAAUGUUUAUCUUAUCAAUACAUGUAAUCCACUAAGGGUUUAUGAGAAUUGUUGAAGUACAAGUACUAAUUAGUAGUUUAAAUCCUCUAUAUGUAAAGUGUUUGCAAAGAAUGGAUGCUGUUCAUCAAACCCCUGAUUAACAGUGAAAACACUGUAUGCUUUGCUUUCCACUUUCCUUUUCAUCUUCCAUUUCCACUUUCUUUCUCAUUUCUUUCCCCGUUUUUCUCUCUUCUCCUCGAGCUUCUUCUUCUUCCUCCUUUGACCCACCAUCAACUUUGACGAUUCUGCAUCGCCGGAGAAUUUUUUUCAGAAUAAUUCAAUUGCUGAUUGUUUUUUUGUUUCAUCUGGUUUCGUUUGUUCAUUUCUAGAUUUGGGUUCGUUUAUUCUUGUUUUUCGUUUGUUCUUCAAUUGUUUUUUUGUUCAUUAUAUGUAGUGUUUCUAGCAUCAGUAAUCAACCGUGUUGCUUGUCGUUGCCACUCAAGUUCAUGACUCCUACUUUCAAUAAUUUUGUUUUGUUGUUUAUAUUUAAGAUUUUCACCAUUUUUCAGACACUAUAUCUGCUGGUGUGCUUCGGAAUUACAUGGAUCCCAAUAGCCGGGGUUUUGUUUCCUCUUAUUAUCAUGCUUUUAGUUCCUGUAAGACUAUACAUUCUGCCCAAGUUUUUCAAAGGAACCCAUCUCCGGGAUUUAGAUUCAGUCGAAUUUGAAGAGUCGCCCGCUUUACCCUUCAAUCUUGCAACGGUACUAUAUAUUCGUGUAUACUCGAGUGUCGAGACUACAUUUACUGUUUAUGUUAUUGAAAGUUAGGAUUUAUACGAGUAGUUGUCUCAAGGUAAUUACUUUACUAAUUACUUCAUUUCAGUUUUUUGCUAUUUAAAUUUCAACUUAGUUCGCUUUUCUUCACUCUUUUCUUCCUUUUUUUUGCUAUCGAGAACUAAUGGAGGCUGGAAUUAUUGAUCCUACAAAGGUAUAGUGAGUUUCGUUCAUCUAUAGAACAAUCAACAAUUUUUAUAGAUUUCAACCAGCAAAAGUUAGGGUUUAUACGAGUCUUGUCUCAAGGUAAUCACUAAUUACUUUAUUUCAGUUUUUUGCUAUUUAAAUUUCAACUUCUAAAAUAGGAUUGAUGAAGCUUGAAGCAACGAAGGGUGAGCCAAACACUGUUUUACAAGAAAAAAGUUCAUAUUUUUUGUGUUGUUUUAGUGGUUGAUUAAUGGUGUGUCUUGAAUUUGCAUUAGUUGUUUGAGUCUAAAGUUUGUUGUUUAUGAAACUUAAAUUUGACUUUUUUGUAUAUUCUUGUGUUCGGGAUUUAUUAGGAUGAUGAUGAUGGUGAUAAUUGUGGGUAAAUUUAAAUUUCAACUUGGUUCGUUUUUCUUCGCUCUUUUCUUCUUUUUUUUAUUGAUCCUACAAAGGUAUAGCGAGUUUCGAUCAUCUAUAGAACAAUCAACAAUGUUUAUAGAUUUCAACCAGCGAAAAUUAGGGUUUAUAUGAGUCGUUGUCUUAAGGUAAUUACUAAUUACUUCAUUUCAGUGACCAGCAUAAGACAACAUUACUCAUCAUAAUGCUUAUGAUUCCUACUAAAACAACCACUAAAACAACACAAAAAUCUGAACUUUUUUAUUGUAAAACAGUGUAUGAAUGCAGUCUGAGUAGUGUAUUUGCAGUGGAUUAGUUGUAUGAGUCUAAAGUUUGUGCAAUGAUUGUUGGUAGCUACUUUAAGUUCUUAGCCAAUUGCUAGGGACAUCCUCAACUGAGGCUUAGUAUCUUUGUGUAAAUGCUUUGUAUUUAUUUCAUUGAUCGAUUAAGUUGAAAUUGAUUUUAAGUGAUUUUGCAAAAUUCCAAUUUGUUUGUUGAAAACUCUUUGUAGGGUGGGAUACGAAUAUACAUCUGUGAUCAUGAGACAACUCCCCCAGGCAUGUAUUAGCAUUGUGUCAUAGCUUGCAUGAUGCCGUCAUAAAGUUAGUUUGUGGAAUGUUCCCAUAUUUCACCUUAUUCUCAUUAAACUCAGUAAACGUGAAAUUAGGUUGUGUUUACAAGUUGUACUAAUUUUUUAAAAGAAACAAUCCUUUAGAAUAUAAUUAAAAGUUUGAAAUAGAAUUAAUGCUAUUACAAAUCAUUAAAAAAAGGGCAUCACAAUGUACAAUGCAUCCCCGCAAAGGUUCCCACCAAGAGGCGUACCGUAGGAAAACCUUUGCAUUUUUGCAAGAGGCGAACCGGUGCGCCAAGACUCCCCUUCACUAUUAUUAUCCUAUUCCUAUAUCUUGAACAAAGUAAGAUGAUGAAUUACGAUGAUGAAAUACAAACCUAAUCUAGGAUCCAUUUGUGGUAUACAUCGUACUUCAACUUUUAUAUCUCUUCCACUUUAAGUUUUACAAGAAUGACAUUAGCGAUUCAAUCAACAAAAAAAAAUGAAGAUGUCGAAGAGUGUGGAAGUCGUUUAAUGUUCAUUGUCAACUAAAUAACACUACUUGAUGGAAAACUUCCUAGCCAAAGAGUGACUAGAAAUGAAAUAAAGAAUCUACAUUGAUCUUUUCUAUUAUUUUGAAAUAUAGAAUAAACCAUUAAUAGGCAUACAAGUAUUACUUAUUAAGCUAGAAAAUAGGAUAGUGUAAGUAGUUAAAGACCCAUUACAUGAUACUGUUCCUAAUAAAUCCUAACAAAACUAAAUAAUAAAUUUGCACACUUAAUACUACUAAUUCUUAAAAGUAAUUGCCCUUACAAUCUAAAUCAUUAACAAAUAUUUUGACAAUAAUCAUCUAACAAAAUAAUCAUGAAAUUAAAUACAAAAACUCCCCAGUUAAAAAGGAGUUAAUCAACACAUAAUUUAAGAAUGAUACAUAGAGUAACAAAGAUGACUAAAUGUGGUAUCAACAUUUUGAGUGACUCAGAGGUGAAUUUGUCUAGAAAAAAAAAAGGCAUAGAUUGCUAUUAGAGAAGAAGUGUUCAGGAACAUAUGAAUUUGAAAAUUCCUCUCAACAUAAAACAUUUGCAAGGGAAGAAUAUUGUUCAUCCUAAUUUUUAUUAUGAGAUUUCUAAGAAAAUUUAAUUUAGGUUCAAGAUCAAAGACACGAUUAAGAUCAGAUUUAGGGUUUUUUUUGUCAUUUUUGUUCUUCAUUAUUUUUGGGUUUUUAUGUUCGAAAACUUUGAAUAUUGCAUUAGGGAGUGAAGCUUUAGGGUACUACUGAAUAAUUAAGGUCUGAUUUUUAGGUGCCCAGCACAAAUGGAAUCGUGUAAUGACUUCUUUAACUUCUUUUGUUUUAGUGGGGAUUUUUGCACGUCGUUUACUUUUGAGUUUUUAUGAUUUUAAUGUUUUUUAAGAUUGUUUUGAUAUGUGAUUUUUAAUCUGAGUUUUUAUUUUGGUUUUUUGCCUUAAAUUUAUUAUGAGUUUCAAUUAGAAUGUUUACAAUACAUUUGUUGUGUGAUUCAUGGUAAGAUUUGAGUUUUUGUGAUUCUCCAUAUUCAAUAAAUAGGUAAUUUUUGGUUUUUGAUUCUCCGAUUUCUUCAUUUUUCUUUGUCUUGAGUGUAAUUGGGUAAAUACUAUGCUAUUGUUGCUGUUGUUGUUUUGUUAUUUUGUUGAGGUUGAUCUAUAUCCUUGAGUGUAGACAGACUAAUUUCCCACGCAACACAAGGGUACAACCAGCUUCCAUGUAGCCUUAUUGCUUGACUGCUAUUGUGCUGCCCUGUUGUGUUGUCUUCACCCAAAGGUGAAACAUCAUUGGUUUAAGUGUGUGCAAACCUGUUAUGUUGCUGCGUAGGUGUUGGUGUGUUGGUGUGCAACGUGUGCAAUUGGUGAGCAGCGUUGGUGUUGGUGUUUGUAGGUGCAAUAGCAUAUGCAAAGUACUGCUUUAGUUAUGAAAAAUGUAUUUGAGCGGUUAAUUUACAUUUUAGUUGUUUCUCUAUGGAGUUCUUUGUUGGUUUAGGUUAUCGUUUUGCUUUGCUUUGCUUUGGUUCUUGUGUUAUUUACUUUGAGAUUACAUGAUGGUAUCUCUAAUGAUAAACAUUAUAAUGGUUUAGGUUAUCCUUUUGCUUUUCUUUUGUUAUGAAUAAUGUACUUGAGAUUACUUGACAAAGCGUAUUGAUUUUAUAGAAUUGGAAAGAAGCUGAGUUUCAAUCUCUUUUUAUGCUUGAUGAAAGGUGACCUUGGCUCUCUUUAUUUUUUUCCACCAUCAGAACUACUUGCUAGAUCUUGAUUAGAUUUGAUUUGUUUUGAUUUGAUUUGUUGAUGUAGAUUGUUAAAAUGCUCUGCAGCUAAUAUAAUAUAUACUCCAUUUUAUAUUGGUGUAUGGCUGUUUUCCUCUGUUAAAAUCUAUGAGUAUUCAGAACAUUUUAUCUAUUGCUUUAUUUGAUAAGUUCGCAUAUUGUGUAUGCAAUUUCGUUUGAAACUUUUGAAAAAAAGUAUGCUUGAAAUUUGAGUUUGAAAAGGAUAUUCAAAAAAAUUUGGGUGUGUUCAUCGCUUUGUUUUUUAUUCCUUUUCAAAAAUGUAGUUACGUUAAUCUAUAAAUAAACGCUUCGUCGUCUUUAGAAAUAAUCAUAAAGGGAAGAAAGGAACAAACACUAAUGCACUCCACGUAGCCAAUUAGCGCUAAAUCUAAUAUUACAAGAUAUGGUUGGAGAGGUCUACUUACAUUGUACUUUUAUAAUUAUUAACACUUCAAAUUCAAGGUUAAAAUUUUGAAUUGUUUCUCUCACUCAUUCUUCCGACAACAAGAUUGAUAACAUAUGGACCUAUUUUUUCUGAGCAUAAGGCUUUGUGCAGCUAUGUACAGCAGGUGAUGGAUGUGGGCACAGAAGGACUAAAUGGGGUGCACGAGGGCGCCAGACAGAGAGUGUUGGACGCUUACUGGCAAGACUGGGAGUGCUGAAUGUGACCUCAUUUUAGUUACUUUGUGUAACCGGAUUGAUGCCGUGGUGUUCUUGUCUGUACUCUGUUCAAGCUUGUUGGGUCAAAGUUGCUGCUCUGUCUUGGUGUAAAUGUCAGGAUUCCAUGGGUCUUUGAAAAGGCAGCAAAGAUUUAGAAUAAGUUGGGGACACUCUUUGUUGUGCUGUAUGCAGUCUGUCCUAUUGAUGGUCAUUAGGUAUUGUGGGACAUAAUUAGUUUACUAAUUUCUCAAUGGGACUGUUGUUAUUGGGCUGGUGCCAGUGUUGCCUUUGUAAAGAACAAGGCCCGAGAGACUAAUUUGUGCACUAAUAUAUGUUUAGCAAUUGAAGGUGACUGCAUUGCUGCUGGUUGCCCCUUGAGGAUCUAAUCAGUUACCCACACUAUUGGCAGUUGAAAAGGUAAAAGAGCAGCUGAUUCACCUGUGGUAGAAUACAUUUGAUAACUUUUGUCUUGUAUCAUAGCAUCGAAUAGUUGCAAGUGAACCAGAGCCGAAGUUGUAUAGUAAACUGCUGGCAAGCCUCAAAACCAUUCGGAUAUGAAUGGGGUACCAUGACCUGUGUUUACUAGACACACAUGAAUGAGAUCCGAAACUGGCUUGUAUAUGAUUUCCUUGACCACGUAACCAUUACUCACGGUAUCCCAAAAGUUGACUCCAAUGUACAAAUCAAAUUUGGAGGUACAUUAAGUUAUAACCUUUGCUCUAAUUAAAAUACUUGCUUUCUAUCCCA